rnacentral:rRNA from 1 species
UACGUAGGGGGCGAGCGUUGUCCGGAGUUACUGGGCGUAAAGGGCAUGUAGGCGGUGCUGCGCGUUUCGCGUGACAGCGGGUGGCUUAACUGCCCGAGGAUGCGAAAGACGGCAGGACUUGAGGGCCAGAGAGGGACACGGAAUUCCGGGUGGAGUGGUGAAAUGCGUAGAGAUCCGGAGGAACACCGAAGGCGAAGGCAGUGUCCUGGCUGGUGACUGACGCUGAGGUGCGAAAGCCAGGGGAGCGAACGGG